GUUGUGUUGUGGAGAGGGCUGAAGUUUGUUGUCUGUACUGAGAAGAAGUUGGUGCUGUGAGGAGAUGCCCAUUUCAGGAGAAAUCACUGAGAAGGCUGCUGAAGUUCUUCUGUAACUCUUUCAUUUGAUGACACAGAUGGUUGUCCACCUAACUCCUGAAGGCAGCAAACUCCCCUCUUGCUGUUCUAUCCAGACCUUGUGUUUGGAAUCAUAUCCAUACAGGAAUCAAGUAAAGUCUAUUGCAUUAAAGGCACAGAAGAGAAGAAGACACAUCCCAACAUUGUUUGGCUGAUGUGAAGAAAAUAGACGGAAUUUAAAUGCUAACCAGAUAUAACAAAACCUAAGGAAAUAGUACAUCACAAAUGAGACCAUUUAAGAAAGGAGUGAAUAAUUUUGCAAUACAAAGAGAUAAAGAGCAAUUCUGGGCUCUUUGGAGGACCAUUUGAGUUCAAUUCCGUAUGCUACUUUUCUAAAAAGAGGAUUGCACUUUAGAGGAGGAUUUUUAGAAGUGAAGACUACACUCAUGGGACUGUGUUACUGUCAGGUCAAGUAAACUAAGGAUCAGUACUGAAUGGCAUUGGAAAGACAGAGGGAUCAAGGGUCUUUGUAAGAAUAUGCAGAAGGAGAGCAUGUCUGCUCCCUGAAGAUUAUCUGAUUAAAGACCUAGCUAAAUGUGAUCAUAAAGAAAAGGAGAAGGCCACCCAUAAAAAACAAAAAACAUACAGAGACACAGGCCUUAUAGGCAAACAAUAAUGGAGACAAUGGCAAGAAAAAGCCUUGUCAGUCAUAGUACUUGACAGGCUAUUAAAAACUCCAGGCACAAGUCUAUAGGGGACCAUCUGCAUUUUGUAGCUAAAAAGUGGGAACUAAAGACACAAGGAGCUGGCAUACUACAGUGAAAUUACUAAGUUUGUGCAAACUAGUAAAGGAAUGUGCAGCAGAAAGAAACUGGUAAGGAGCAAAGAGGAAACAGACAUAAAGAUGUAUUCACAUGUAAAAUGGGGAUAGUCAACACACUUCUACACUUCUCUGGCUGAGCCUUGUGCCUGAUCAGCAGAGUUUGUCCCGUCCUAUCUAACCCUAAUUGUGCAUAAUCUCACACUCUAUUUUGCAUGUGUGAGUAAGUGCCAGCUGCUGGGAUCUGGUUGGAGUCAAGAGGAGUGAUCAGUCCUGGCUUGCAGCAUCUGCCUUGAGGCAAAUGUGGGUCAUCAGCCUUCAGACACUGGGCUGCCUCUGUUACAUAACUCAGUUAUGGUUAAUGAAUUAGGGAGGAAACUAAGGAGACCUUAAACUUUUUUAUUAGAUGUUAUUUUCUUCAUGACAGAACUCAUUUAUUGUUUAGUCUUCACGCUUUUCUAGUUUUUCAAGAAAAAUAGAAGGAAGAUCUCAAGUUAACAGUCAAAUUCAAUAUUUUGACACAUUCUUUAUUUCCAUGGGGUUUGCAGUUUUGUAAAGGUUUUGUAAAGGUCACCACUUUGAAGUCCAGGUUAGGUUGCUCUUGUUUUUCCUCCCUCUUUGGUUCUGUUUUUGAAAACCUGAUUUUUAGGUAGCGUUGCCUGUGAUCAAUAAUUCUAUCUGACCAUACAUGUAUCUCUAUGUAAUGACACACUAUGAUGUAAAAAUAAAUAAUUAAAAAUAUCCCUCUUAUUGUGCAAAGUGAAU